GGAGAGGUGGGCGAGUGGUUUAAGCCAGAUUUAAGAAAAAUCCACACGAGUCAUCUUGUCGUAGGUUCGAAUCCUGCUCUCUCCGCCA
rnacentral:tRNA from 1 species